AGUGUUUCCCUUCUGUAGAUUUCUAAAAAGUGUCUUCUUUUCACCUUGCCACAUGAGUUUAAUUAGCAAACAGAAUGUAUUGAAUUCUUUAUAUAGUCCCAUUAUAAGGUCAAUAUGAUUGCUGUGAGAAGCCUCUGAAUAAAUCUUUAAGUUCUAGCUCUAUAGAGUCAACUACAACAGUUUACAUAAAUAGAUAAUUAUGCCCCUACCCCCCAAUCUGUAUAAUUAGAGUCAGGUAGCAAGAUAGACUAUGAAUAUAAAUGAGGAAGAUCUCUCUUCACCAUUCACUUAACCAAUUCUCUUGAAUAACUUCAGCUCUCCAUUCAUUCAAGUACAGUGUCAUGAUAUGCUGCCUGUCCACAGCUCUCAAGAACCCUCAAGAACAUCUGCAGUGAGUGCUGUGCUGCCUAAACAUGUUUGUUCCAAAUAUACCAGUGUUAUGAAAAUCACAAUUAAAUCAAUGAAACACAGGGCAUAAAGAGAGGUGUGGGGGGGGUUGUAUGAAAACUAAAUUGAUUGCUUUGUAAAGGACUUAAACAUGAGUGGCUAGAAACAAUUACUGACAGAUUAAGUAUUGCAAGAAAACUUAAAAGACUUGGGGAAAAAAAUCACAAAAAUUAAGGUGGUGUUUUCACUCACACUCGGAAAGUCCUUGCUUCACUUUAAUAAAAACCAAAAUUGGGAAUCAUGGAGGAUGUAUUAUGACUAUGUUGAAAGACUAUAGAAAGAUGCUAUAAAAUUCAUAUCAGCGGACUUUUCAAAAAUUGAAAUAUAGUUGAUUUACAUGUUAGUUUCAAGUGUACAGCAGAGUGAGUCAGUUAUACAUAUACACACACAGACACAUGUAUAUAUCAGAUUCUUUUCCAUUAUAGAUUGUUAUGAGAUAUUGACUAUAGUUCUCCAUGCUAUGCAGUAGGACAUUUUUAUCUGUUUUAUAUAUAGUAGUGUGUAUCUGUUAAUCCCUAUCUCCUAAUUUAUCCCUCCCCCUGCCCUUUCCCCUUUGGUUACUGUAAGUUUGUUUGUUUGUUUUUUGUCUUUUUAGGGCUGACCCACCGCAUAUGGCGGUUCCCAGGAUAAGGGUCAAAUUGGAGCUCUCGCCAUUGCCUAUACUACUGCCAUAGCAAUGCCAGAUCCGAGCCACGUCUGCAACCAAAUACCACAGCUCAUGGUAACACCGGAUCCUUAACCCACUAGCGAGGCCAGGGACUGAACCUACAUCUUCAUGGAUAUGAGUCAGCCACAAUGGGAACUCCCUAAGUUUGUUUUCUAUGUCUGUGAGUUUAUUUCUGUUUUGUAUGUAGGUUCAUUUAUAUCAUUUUAAAUUCCGUAUAUAAGUGAUAUCAUAUAGUAUUUGUCUUUAACUUCACUAAAUAUAAUAAUCUCUAGGUCCAUUCAUGUUGCUGAAAAGGGCAUUACUUCAUUCUUUUUUAUGGCUGAUACAAAAACAUAUUAUAUUGUAUUAUAUGGUACUAUAUAUAUGAGAUGUAUCUAUCUAUAUGUAUAAUAUAUACAACAUAUGUGUGUGAGAUAUAUGUAUUUCAUAUCUUCUUUAUCCACUUAUCUGUUGAUGGGCCUUUAGGUUGCUUCCAUGACUUGGCUAUCGGAAGUGAGCAUUGGGUUGCAUGUAUCUUUUUGAAUUAGCGUUUUUGCCUUUUCUGGAUAUAUGCCCAAGAGUGGGAUUGCUGGAUCAUGUCGUAGCUCUAUUUUUAGUUUUCUAAGGAACUUCCAUAUUUUUCUCCAUAGUGGCUGCACCAAUUUAUAUUCCCACUACCCUCUAGGAGGUUUCCCUUUCCUCAUACUCCUUCCAGAAUUAUUGUUUAUAGACUUUUUUAUGAUGGCCAUUCUGACAGAUGUCAAGUGAUACCUCUUAUAGUUUUUUUUAAUUUGCAUUUCUCUAAUAAUUAGCUAUGUUGAGCAUCUUUUCAUGUGCCUGUUGGCCAUCUGUAUGUCUUCUUUGGAGAAAUGUCUAUUUAGGUCUUCUGCACUUUUUUUUUAUAUUCAACUGAUGAGCUGUUUAACAGACUCUUAACUAAAGAGAAAAAUGGCCCUAUAUCAGAAGCUUAAUGAUUUAAUGCAUGGUUUUUUUAAGUUUUAUAUUCAAAUAUUUAUGAAAUAUAUGACUAUUUCCCUUAAUAUUCUUUGUUAUUGUUGUUCUUGAUUUGGUCAGUCAACCACUGGUCUUGAUCUCAUCAAAUUAGAGAAAUUCUAAUAUAUUGAAAAUUUGGAAAUUUGGAAAAAGAAGAAAUCUAUUCUUUUUGAAAUAGUGGGAAGGCUUACCUAAAAUGCUUGGUAUGAUUUUAUUACUGUAGAGGAACGAAGCAUCAUUCUUAGAUCAAGAGGAAACACACAAAUAUGGUAAGAAUGCAACAUUUAGGCCAUGAAAGGUAAAAUCUGUGUAGAGGAGUAAAGAAUGGGGAAGAAAAGGCUGAGAAGAAACUUUUGGAACAAUCUCAGAGGAGCUAUGGGAUCUGAUUUUAGGUAGUAGGUAAUAUUGAGCCUCUGACUAAUUUUGUUCAGAAUGGUGAAAUUAUAAGAGAAAUAUUUCAAGGAGAUUUCUCUGGCAAUGGUGUACAGGAUGAAAUUAAUCCCUAAUGGAAAAUAUAUUUUUCUUGGGCAUAAUCCCAGAUAACUGGUGUCAUUUGGCUGGAGCACUGUGAUGAGGAACAUAAGGCUGAGGCUGGCCUCGGUAAGAAGAGUGAGCUUUCUAUUAGUGAUGUCUGACAUGCGCAAGGGAAAGGAGGUUACAGCACCUAUGCCAUAUAUUUGUUGGUCCUGGGUUAGAUUAAGGGUAAAGAUAGUAUAAGUAGUUAUGCCAGUGCAAUAGUAUGAGAAAUAAUAAAGGAAAGUAUGAGAGAUAUUUUGAAAAUAAAUACUAGUUUAAUUCUAUGGAUAAAAUUAUCUUAUAAGUGGAAAUUUUAAAUUAUUAGGGAGUCAAGUGAGAUGCUUUGCCUUAUUGUUGAUGUAAGGAAAUCAUUAGAGUAUAGUCAUAAAUAGCAGAGGAAAUAGAAUAAUGUAGAAUUCUAUUGAAAAUCUAGACCUCCCAUUUGCUAGCUAAAUAAUUUGAGAUAAAUUUCUUAAAUUCUUUGAAAAUGUGUUAACUUGCUCAUAGGGAUCCAAACUAUUAAAAUUAUGACAAGUAUUUAAAGAAGUAACAUAAUGUCUAUCAUACAGUACCCAAGAAAUGAUAUUCAUUAUGUUUACAGCUUGGCCAAGGAAAACAUGGCUUCAAAAAUAUUUUACCAAUUUUUUUGUCUAAUUAAGUAUUAAAAAUAAAAACCCAUAAAAUUAUUGCCCUAUGAUUUGGGACCUUUUAGCACCCAAAUAAAAUUGAACUGACUCUAGAUAAAAAAUAAAAUAAAAUAAUUUAGAAUCCAUAUUGCCACAUCUUUGGAAAAGAGACACCAACAUUUGUUUUUCUAUGAGAAACUAGAAAUUAUGAAAUCCCUUUCUGUCUGGACCACUGUUUGCUCACCAUUUAUGGAAAUAAUCAAAGGCUUGGUAAAUGAGGGAUUAUGAUAGCUAUGAAGCCAUGGUCAGAACUGCAGGAUAUUGGUACACCCAUAUAUAGACAUUGCAAUGUAUUUUUCCUUCUACCUCUGCCCGGUGGUCAGUGAUUUCUUGGCAAUGAACAUGAAAACACUGGGCAUCCAUUCACAGGAUUUCCUGAUUUGUUUGUGAGAAGUUGUGAUGUUCAUUUGCAAUUAGGUUUUGGCAAACUCUUGGCAGAGAACUUCUCUAUAAAAAAAAAAAAGUACAGAGCUCUUCGUUUGGCAGAACUCUUUAAUAUGUAGGUUUGCAUUUCCUGUCUUCUAGUUUCCUUAAAAAAAAAAAAAGGAAUGUUGUAGAAACACACACAUACCCAUUCAUUAAGUACUUUGAAGCAGCAGUCUGUGAUAUUUCCAAACAAAACAUUGUUUUACCAACAUGGCUGACUGUCUCAAACAAAGUCUCCUUUCUAUGGAAUUCUACCAAGUGACAUUUGAGACUAAAAAGCCGAAAAGGCAGAUUUUUUUGACUAGCUCUACAGUUUGUUACUAGUGGCAGAGAAAGACCUGAACCAAUUUUAAUCCAAGAGAAAUAACAUGAAGCAUCAUCUUCCUGUAUCCAGACCUCUAUAUACUGCAUCAGGGCCUGAAUAUCCUAGAACUGAUUGCUUUUCCAAGGCUAUUCCUUUCCUACAAACUUCUCCUCUGAAUCCACCCAGAAAUGGUAGUUUUGUUUGCCACGUGACAGUCAUGAAGCUGUGCUAUAUUAAACAUAUGCUAGUUAUAGCAAUGACAUUAUUUACGUUAUGAUCACUAUCUCUAUUGCUAUUGAUGAUUCAAACACAGCUAAUCCUAAGUCUGCAUGUGUUUAAGAAAUAACAUUUAAAAAUGUGACAUCUGAAAUGCUAUUGCAUGGAAUUAAACAUCAGUCAACUGGCUUUAAAAAAAAAUGUUUAUUCAUGGCAUGAAAACUUGAGAAACGUUCUUCCUUUUGCAAUGUGAGCUGAAAGAAACUCCAACAGCAAAUGUUCCAUCCUAAAUCCUCUGCCCCCAGCUUUUCAAAGGGCACAGAAAUUGAACCCAGCAAAGCUGCCCUGUCAAAAUGAUUUAAAAGGAGGAAAGAAAGUUGCUAGAGGGCUGGAGGGGAAUUCAUACU
rnacentral:lncRNA from 1 species